rnacentral:rRNA from 1 species
GACGAACGCUGGCGGCGUGCCUAAUACAUGCAAGUUGAGCGCUGAAGGUUGGUACUUGUACCAACUGGAUGAGCAGCGAACGGGUGAGUAACGCGUGGGGAAUCUGCCUUUGAGCGGGGGACAACAUUUGGAAACGAAUGCUAAUACCGCAUAAAAACUUUAAACACAAGUUUUAAGUUUGAAAGAUGCAAUUGCAUCACUCAAAGAUGAUCCCGCGUUGUAUUAGCUAGUUGGUGAGGUAAAGGCUCACCAAGGCGAUGAUACAUAGCCGACCUGAGAGGGGGAUCGGCCACAUUGGGACUGAGACACGGCCCAAACUCCUACGGGAGGCAGCAGUAGGGAAUCCUCGGCAAGGGACGAAAGUCUGACCGAGCGACGCCGCGUGAGUGAAGAAGGUUUUCGGAUCGGAAAACUCUGUUGGUAGAGAAGAACGUUGGUGAGAGUGGAAAGCUCAUCAAGUGACGGUAACUACACAGAAAGGGACGGCUAACUACGUG